GAUCUGUGGAUCAGUGGCAGAAUACCUGUUUGGCUUGCAGAAGGACCUAGGCUCAAUCCCUAGCUGCAUCU
rnacentral:tRNA from 1 species